GCUACCAACUGCACCACUGUGCACUGAGAAGUUCAGUAUGUUGAUUGCUGAGGGGAAGAAGCUGUUCCUUAGCCUGCUGGUACGGAAGCGGAGGCUCCUGUAGCACUUCCCGGAUGGGAGAAGAGUGAACAGUGUAAGGUUGGGGUGAGAGAUGUCCUUGAUGAUGCCUUUCAACCUCCGUAGACACCGUCCGUGAUAGAUGUCUGCGAUAGAGGGUAGCUAGGCACCAGUGAUGUGUUGGGUGGUGGUCACCCACUGGAGGGCCUUCUGGUCAGAGACCAGAAUAAAUUUGGUCAGACCAAGUUGGAGUUUUGAGCAGGGAAUGUUAACGUGCAAUAUAGGACCUAAUGCUCCUUCCGCCAUCACUGCCAGCCGGUGCAAGCGCGCGUGCGCGUACGCAGAAACGAACGAGAGCGAGAGAGUGAACGCACAGUUCCCUCUCUCCGAAACGAAGUCACAGCUGCAAGACGUUCACCGAGGUGUCGGAGCUGAAAAACUCGAGAAGCUUAUUUCAGGAUAAAGCAUAAUAAUGCUCCUGUGCACAAAGUGAGCUCCAUGAAGACAUGGUUUUCCAAGGUUGGAGUGGAAGAACGUGAAUAUCCUGCACAGAGCCAUGACCUCAACCCCACUGAACACCUUUGGGAUGUACUGAAAAACACACUGCACCCCAGGCCUCCUCGUCCAACAUCAGUGCCUGACCUCACUAAUGCUCUUGUGGAUGAAUGGGCAAAUCCCCUCAGCCAUACUCGAAAAUCUAGUGGAAGGCUUUCCUAGAAUAGUGGAGGUUAUUGUAACAGCAAAGGGGGAGUACACCUUGAAUGAGAUGUUCAAAAAGCCUUUAUUAAAGCCUUUUUUUUUUUUUACCUAGGUCGAGCUAGGUGUAAGAUGAAAGCAGCUACAGUGCAUUGGUAAAACAUAUAUUUGGCUAAAAUGUGAGUGCAUCAAAACGUGAGAGUCAUUUGAUUUGAUAAAAGAAAACUUUUACAGACUUUUACAGCCACUGUUCCAUAGUAGCCAUGUCUGUUUCCUUGUCAUUCAUACCACAAAACUACCUUUAAUGUCCAAAUUCCUCAUGAUGUAGGCUGUGAAUAUUAAUAUGAAAGGUGAUUAAAUUUAUGAAAAUCUAUAAGUAGUUAAUUUGAUAGCAAUAUUUUGUUGAGUUGUUUUUAUAUGUGGUUCAUUUUAUUAUUUCAGGCAAGGUUUUUGUUGUUGUUGUUACUUGCACCCUUUAUGCUGUUUGGUGUUAGUACUGUUUGUUAUUUAUUAGUGGCUUACAUGUAGCAACCCUGUGUGAACUGUACUACACAGUUUCUUGGUUUUAAAAGAAGCAGGAUGGUGGCACAGUGGGUAGGGUACCUGGUUUGAUCCUGAGCUCAGAUUACUGCCUGUGUGGAGUUUUGCAUGUUCUAAUGUGUCAUUUGUUUGUAUGUUUGAGAGCUUAUUGUGGUUGUCUUCAUAAUAAUAAAACAAACAGGCUUUUGAGAGGCACAACAGAAAAGUGUUCACCUAUCAUCUCAAUCUCUCACUCUCACUCUCUCUCUCACACACACACACACACACACACACACACACACACACACUGUCACUAAUAGUUUACAUAGUCGAAUGAUUAAAUAGAAAGACAUGUUUACAUUUGGGCUUAAGAAGGUUUCUUGGAACCCCUUAGCGCCACUCAGUCUCUGUGGCGCAAUCGGUUAGCGCGUUCGGCUGUUAACCGAAAGGUUGGUGGUUCGAGCCCACCCAGGGACGAGCAACUGUUUUGCUUCAUGUGAAAAAACUACAUUCUUUAUUGUUACGGCUGU